UUUUGUAUGGCGUAACAUCAUCCCCUCCUUUUCCUCCAGGUUUUUAUUAAAUUCUAAGGAUGCUUCAGCCAGCUAGUUAUGGCACUAAUAAGUGGUGCUUUAGGAAGGGCUGAUAAGAAGGCAAAUCUGGCUUUUGCUACUUUUUAUUUAUUUUCUGGUGUGGAGUUAGCAUCACAGAUGUCCUCAAAAGUACAGAAUUUGCUUCCUUAAAGAUUUUAACUUGGAAGAGAACGUUGAAAGCUGGGCUUUGCUACACUGGGAAUAUUGCUGCUUUUCAGUUUGGCAGGCAAUGGAGCAUAUAAACACUGCUAUGACAGACCUGCCUUUAUUUUACUGCAUGGCCUUUUUUCUCUCACCCCUAAGAGAUGACAUGCAGGCACCCUUGUGCAUCACACUGAUAUCCUCGUGCACAGCUUUCUAAUGGCAGUAUAACCCCGCCUCUGCUGCCAGCAUCUUGAGGCCUUCUGGAAGGAGCUGGGAGAUGUCAUGCAACCGGCUGUGAGUUAGAGGAGAGUGGAGCGGUGCAGAGGGACAAACAGCAUCAGCCGGCGAGUGCUGGUGUGCCCUUGCUGUGUGCUCAUGCAGGGCUGCCUGCUUUCUGUGCUGAGCAGGGCUGAGAGACCCUGCCAGCCCUGUGCUCCUGCUCCAGCACUCCUCCUGUAGAUUUUCAUCCGUUUCUUAAAGCCCACCCACAGGCUCAGCUGGGCUUUGGAAGCCAAAAUGUGAGCAAACAUCAAGCUUCCCGAUCCCUUCAAGGCAGAAUCAAUCCCGUGAAGUGGAAGCUUUUAUUUUUUUCAGAGGAGUUGCCCAUACCCAUCAAACUCCUUGGCACCAGGUCACCUGGAAGGUGAAGGGGUGCAAUCACCGUACUUGCAUGCAACACCUCCAGUCUUGCCUUGCGAAUCACGGAGGUGACGUUUCCCCCAGCCUACAUGUGGGCUGUCACAAUCUGUGUGAGGGUGGAAGAGCAUUGCUCAAACAAGCCUCAGUUCUUGCAAACCACUGGAAGCUGGCUGAGUAGCACAGAGGAGGAAAGAAAGUAUUAAGAAGGUAUUUCUUUUUGUAGCAGUACGUGAGCAGAGAACUGCUGAAGACAUGGGAGUGCAGGAGCAGCCUUGCUCUGACUCAAGCACAGGCACUGAGAGCAGAGCUGAUGGUGGUACUUUUGCUCUCGGCUUAAAAUGCUGCCUCCUGGAUGCAGAAUGCUUGAAACCCCCAGGCUAAAUAAGAAAAAUGGUCAAUAAAUAAUGCAUAUAUGGCGGAGCAUUCCUUUAACCAGUUCUCACCUCACACUCCACUAGGCUGAGCUGGUCCCACCUCAUCUCAUGAGAUGGGCUUUUCCUCUGCCUGAGUCUUCUCCUAAGUUACAAG